rnacentral:tRNA from 1 species
GAGGAUGUAGCUCAGUUGGCAGAGUGCUUCAUGCUUGUCUCCCAUGCACAAGGUCCUGGGUUUAAUACCCAGCACCCCCC